UAUGGAAACAGAAAGCUAUUGCAGCAGAAUAGCUCUCUGUCCAGAAAUGUUAAAUGGCACAUGCAGCCAUUCAGAAAUCCAUUUUAUUGUUGUUUAGCUACAUGAGUCAUCUGAUCAGAGAAGAGAAACAAGCAACUGGGGCUGGGAAGCAGCCAACUAGGGCUGAGAAACAAUGCUGUGCGACUGGUGCAACCAAACAACAUGCAUGUGAAGCACUUGCAAUGAACUGUCAGGAACAAUCUGCAGCCAAGGUUUAUUUAUCACGGAUACACAUCAGCACUGCCAAGCAACAACUGAAUGUGCUAACAAUGGAGAGGCCAUUCAUUAACUGAGUGAUUAGUAAUGAAAUGCUUCUCCUGCUCCAGGCUCUGUGAUGGUAGCUACUGGCCCAGCAACCAUGGCCAACCUCCAGGAGGACUGCUGUCAUCAGAAAGGGCUCUUGGUGAAAACCUGGCCACCCCUUUGCUCAUGGAAGCAGCCGACCUGCUUCACUGGAUCUGGUGGCCCCAAACGACAACUGGGCUUCAGAAAAUAGCUGGACCAAGCCUUUGAUGGACACUUGCCCAUAGCACCCCUAAAACAAAUGACAGCCAGCUGAAAAAUGUCACCACACUGCGAUAGCCCUGCAUCCAUGGCACCAAAGCCAACAUGCGGGACUGGUGAUAAUGCCAAUAAAUCACAGGAAAAAGCCAUGCCAAAACCAGGGAACUGAUGUAGCUUUUUGUCAUCAUGACUCACAAGGAACAGAAAUGGGCUCAAUGCAGGCUAAUGUCACUUUAGGAAGUAGCAGCAGAUUAUGGCAAACCACCCAGUCUGACUGUGCUAUCAGUACCACAGUUCCUGGGCCAAAUCCAGGCAGCCACAGAAAGAUCACAUUUUCCUGGAAGAUCUCACAAGAGAAGACGACCAAGCACACCUUCCUACAGGUGGGAAACUGAGGUACAGCUGGGUUAGGUAGCUCACUCAAAACCAAGAAGGGAUUUGGCUUCCAUCAUUGCUGUCACAAACCAUGUCCAGAGGAGACCAGGGUGCAAUUUCACCAAGGUUAACACUCCUCUUCCAUUGAAAAGCAUCAGUAGGUCUUAAAUGAUGGUGAUCAAAGAAAGUCUCUGAGCCAUGAAGCAGCUUUGAGAACCAUGAGAUCCAGGACAGGGAUGCUGGGGCUGCCUGGUGCAGGGAUGCAGGCAGGGGACUGGCCAGAGUCGCUGGCAGAGAAGAGCUCUUCUGGGUGUGAUUUGCUUUUGCAGCCUUCCACGCGGUGGAGUUUUUCCUUGAGCUUUGCUCCAUAUGUCAUGACUCACUGGCAAAACAACACCCGCCGCUUCGGUAGUUUCCAUACAAUUAUGGGGAGGUUUGCCCAUCCCGGCUGCACAGGUCUGAAAUGAUUUCCAGAUCUUGUGUGAAAGUGGGGGGAGGACAGAGUCAGGGACAGGAUGAGGAAGGAGAGGCUCUCAGUUUCUCUCUAUACCUAUUAGGGCUAAUUGCCCCCUCCUCUCAAUCUGCCGGAGCCCGUACCCCACCCUAAACAAAUACAGGCUCCUAUGGCAACACUUGUUGGGGAAACUUAACAACUCAUGCUCCAAAUUACAUUGGAAAAACAUAUGAGGGGAAAAUAAAAAAAUGACUAAUUGGAUUUGAGGCCCAAGAGAGCCAGGCACAGGGUUUGGGGACUGCUGUCCCUGCUCCUCACCCGGUGCCUGGAGAACACAGUGACUCCCAUUGCUUCGCCUUGACAAGAAUCUCCAGAUGGUUUCAUCUUUGCAAGCAGAAAGAGCAAAGUAAGGUGCUAGUGGAUCACCCUUGAGGGCACAGGCACCCUCAUACUUGCAUCAGUCUCAUUUUGGUCUUGUAAGAGUCAUGGCAAGGGAGGACAUGGGCAAUGCAAUGUACUAAGAGCAUGUGAUGUGAGAGGAAAACCCGUACAGACUCUGUUCAGCCUGUGCUUGGGCCGUGUGGCUCCACAGAAAGCAAUGCCAGCAGUGAGAGAAGGGAGGUUUGCCUAGGUCGGUGACUUGCAGGAACACCCGACAAAGUUUUAAGAAGCUGACAAGAAAAAAGAAGACACCAGUGCCCAACCAUGCCAUGCAAAGGCAACGGAUGUGAUCCAGGAAAAUGGCCAGCUGGGUUUCAGUCACCAGAAUAUGCAUCCUCCAGUGUGUGGGGAAAAAGGGCUGGUUGAAAUGGCUCGUAUAAAUUGGGAAAAAAUGAAUAAGGUAAUUGCUGCAACUGCCUCCCACCGCAUUAAGUGAUAGGGAGCUGCUCGGCUAGGUGGUAUGCCACCACGGCAGCCAGGCUGUGUCAGCGAAUCUCCCCACUCGAGCCAUCCAUCUUCCUUGUUUAUUGAGACAGGAGCUUCAGCAGGGCAUGUGUUAGCACGUGGAGGUGCAGCAUCUGGCACUGCUGGGCCCAAGCCCUGUGCUGCCGGCAUAAAAAUAGUAACCACGAAUCAAGUGCUUGGCAAUUUAAACAGGCUAAAAUACCAUGCGCUUUCAAAGCCGGGAAUCAGCACAAAUGAAAAGAGAAAAAAAUUAAAGGGGAAAAAAAAAAAAAGAGGGAAAAAUAUUCCAGGCAAAGGAGGGAUGUGAGAAAGGACUGGUUAGCUGCCGCCACAUCCCAGGCAGAAGCAUCUCAGAGGGCUUGGCAGUGCUGUUUCUCUCGAGGCUUCCAGGAGAUGCCAUGCAGGAAGCACCGUCUGCACACGGUGUUUUUCCACCAUCCCUGCAGAGCCCCAGGGCCUGGGCCGAGCUGGCUGGCUCCCUCCCGGUGGGCUGCUGUCCUGCUCAGCAGGGACGCCCCAGUGCCACUGGGGAGGCAGGCAGGGUCCAGACACUUUUAUUCAAAUCCAUCUUAUGUGUAGGUUGAUUCACUGCGAAAGAGCAUGAAAGGGUGCAACAGAGUGAGGGAAAGACGGAGCAUGAAGAAUAAAUCACAGAUGCCAUCAGUAUCAUACAUACUUUGGUGCUGCGUCACAGGCAUUUGAUGAACAUUACUUCCCAGGAAUGGCGGUUUUGCUCUGGUUGAGCAGACCUGAAGGCCCAGUACCUUGCUUUUGGCGAUGACCCAUUCCAGAUGCUUUGGAGGAAGGUGGAAAAAAGCACCCGGUCAAUUGUGUAACUGAAGAGCUGAAAAGACUCUCCUGCACUGCCGCUGGGAUGGAAAGUGCUUGCGAUUUCAAUCUGCCCACAGCUAGAGAAAGCCCAGAUCCCAGUUUCAGGGGAUGAGGUCCAGCCUUAAUAAGCAAAGUGUUUCCUUUCCCUGCAGCCUUUGGGAGGCUGCACAGGUCCUGGGCUUUGCAACUGUGCUGCUCCCAUCCAAGCAGGGUGCAUAGUUUGCUUUCACGCUGCUUCUAAGUCAGCAUGGAUUUUGCUGUCCUUUCGUCCUUCCCUUUGGGCAUUGGUAUUUUGGGCAUUGACCUUGGAUCCUUUGCAUGCUGAGACAACCACAUGUGACCCUGCAGCUGAGGGGGUGCAGGUGUCUUCGUCCUUCUCAGCUGUCACUUUCAAAGCAGCUCCAGAGGAACAGGGGAACUGUCGUUUCGGCAGGGGAGACAGGCAGGGACAGGCCCUAGAAAAGCUGUGGCUGCCAUCAGACCCACGCCUUGUGCAUCAGCUUCACCGCUGUGAAUUCUGCUCUUGCGAUGGAUGAGUCAUUAGUGGUGGAAGGAUCAUUUGGAGGAGACAGGAGGGAGAUGGCAUGGCAGGGGAGACAGGGACAGGGCUGGGCGAUAAACCUCUGCUGGGGAAGUAUCUCCCCUCGCUGUGCUUGUGGUCUUCCAGGAGCCUUGCAAGGUCUUUGAGCACAAGGCCCCAAAAGUGUCAGCAUGUGCUCAGCACCAGAAAUGAGAAAGUAGCAGUAACCAGGGCCAGGCUCUCACCGAGCACAGCUGGAAACCCCAGCCCAUUUGGUGACAGAGGGAUGUCAGCCCAAACCAGGACUCGCCGACCCACGGGACAUGAACCUUGAGCUGCCCCAGGGCUGGAGACUGCUGCAGCUUCAGGGCUCUAAGAUGUGCAAGCCGCUGCACAUGGUGGGGGGAGCAGGCAGGGGUACGUGGGGAAGGAAAGCACGUAAAGGCUGCAGCAGCCCUUGGCCAGAGCUAGGCAGAGGGCAGCUUCUCCCCGCUGGAUGCCUGCCUUUCCUUCCCACCUCAGCCACUAGCCAAAAUAUUUCAAAAGCUCUGGGAGGUCCCUGGGAGGACUUGAAGAGUGCCCAAAGCCUUGUUAAAAGUUUGGUUCACUUAAAGCCCCUAUGCAUCCACCACCCCAGCUUGGGUCCCUGGAAAUUACCCCUCCCAUCCCUGCCCACAUCCCUCCAACAUCACUCCAAACCACUGUUUCCCUACAGAAAACGGGCUGGUGUCAGUCCCUUCAGCCACAGACACGGCAGGAGCUAGUUGAAGUGAUACUAUAGCCCAGUGUCCCCAGGACACAUCCCUUUCCUUGCACACACACACACACACACACACUCACACUGGUGAGGCAGAGAGCCCGGCCAUUCUUGGCUCCCCCUGCUUGCCCAGGGAAGUUGACUGGGAAUGCAGACUGUGGGAGGAAAUGACAAUGUUCAUUGUUUGGAUUAAAUAUUUUUCUUGGCCCUCUCUCUGUUGCAGUGUGUCUUUUUUUUUUUUUUUUUUCUUCUCCCCCCCUCAACACCCCAAGCACAUUCACUUUCCCUCUCUCCUUCCUGAGGCUCUCCAGCACGCAAGAAGGAAAUCAGCUCUGAAAAACACAGAGAGGGACAGAGAGGGAACAGGGCUGGCUUCUGCUCAAAAAGCUUUUUCGAAUACCUCACUGCCCUCAGCCACUCCAAGCAGCAAGCGAGCGCUACCUGGCCCAUCACAGCGAGGGAGGCAGGGUGAGCACUGCUCAGAGGAAUAGAGCUCUAGAAAUUUGGCAAGCAGCACCUGGGACCAACUAGCCUGAAGAAGAGAAAAGAGAAACAAAUUCCUACAGACCUAGUGCUCCAUCCACCAUUUUUGUGUCUCCCAGUUUCUGUCCCCUGAGCUGUCCCUCUGCUCCUUUUGAACCAUGGCAGCUGUCCCUUGGAGCCACAUGCCUGUAGGACGGCUUACUUGGAGACAUCGUGGAGCUGCCCCAUCACCUCAGACACAGCCAGAAAGCAAAAUGGAGAAAUGCCAGUUGUUUCUGAGCUUACUGGUGUCCCUGAGCCACUCACUCAUCAGCUCAGCAUGCAGACCGCUUUCAUCACAUCUCAGGUCUUCAGGAACAUCUGCUCCAGCUCCAACAUCCUUCUCCCCAGGCCUCACUAAGAAAACAGAGGUUUGUUGCUUGAGAAAGUACUCCAUAUACUCGAAGGAAUGUUUCAAGGAAGAGGUGACAGACUGCAAGGCGGCAUCCUGCUGUCUGGUUUCAGCCUAUGUGCCAUCACUUGUACUGCCACACCCAGGGCAAGCAACAGCCCAGCUCCCAGCAGCCUUGGUAUGCAGCUCUAGGUGUUCUUCAGGACAAAGCGGGUCCCUUGGACAUGGGUUUCCUGCAAACACCUGGGCCUCGUUUGAAUCAAUCUGGAUUGAAUUUGGACAGGAUCAGUGUCUGGAGGGGGAUGGAGAGCACAGAGGUUAGACUGCUGCUUGGUGUCCAGCCUGAAUGCUGCUGUAGAUGACCAUAUUGGGAGAGCAGGUCUUUGCCGUCACGGUGCCUGAAAGCGCUUCUGUGUCCCAGGCCAGGAUUUGGCUUGGACACACUUCUGCUGCAGAAGUGAGUAUGUGGCACUUUGGGCUACUGAAUGGGGAUGCGUUUCUUUAUCCAUGUCCUGCUCUGUGGCUUGCUCCUCAGGGACCCCAUGUCUCAGCAGACAGUGACCUGGAAAGCGCUUUGCACAGUCCACAGGGACAAGAGUGAAGAAAGGGAUGGAAGGCUGGUGUAGAUGAACACCACAUCAGAUGCUGACAGGAGAAGAAAAACAGAAGCAGGAAAGAACAAGUGAAGGGAAGCAGAGGAAGAUGCUGUGUGUCGAUAGUGCUCCUGGCAAGCAUGGUGGCUCCCAGAGAUGGGUCUCCUGCGCUCACUAUCCCCAGGGCUGCUGCUGCACGCAUGAGAGAAGCCAGGACUUCCCAGGCCACGAGCACCAGCCUGCAAUCCUGCCCUCAGCAGCUCACCUGCUGCCAUGGAUUAGAUCUUCUGCCAAGCUGUUUGUGCAAAAUAUGUUGCAGGAUAGAACGGGUUAUGGAAAACAAGCCCUGAAAACCACAAGGGCCUCCUGACCCACUUGUAUCUGGUUUCUGCCAAGUUCUUGUUACAGAUCUUAAACAGAAAGAAAAACAAUGUACGAGGGAUGAAGGAGCUGAAGGGGAAUAAAUAUUCAUGUUGGAAGAGCA